rnacentral:rRNA from 1 species
UGGGGAAUAUUGCACAAUGGGCGCAAGCCUGAUGCAGCCAUGCCGCGUGUAUGAAGAAGGCCUUCGGGUUGUAAAGUACUUUCAGCGAGGAGGAAGGCGUUGUGGUUAAUAACCGCAACGAUUGACGUUACUCGCAGAAGAAGCACCGGCUAACUCCGUGCCAGCAGCCGCGGUAAUACGGAGGGUGCAAGCGUUAAUCGGAAUUACUGGGCGUAAAGCGCACGCAGGCGGUCUGUCAAGUCGGAUGUGAAAUCCCCGGGCUCAACCUGGGAACUUCAUCCGAAACUGGCAGGCUAGAGUCUUGUAGAGGGGGGUAGAAUUCCAGGUGUAGCGGUGAAAUGCGUAGAGAUCUGGAGGAAUACCGGUGGCGAAGGCGGCCCCCUGGACAAAGACUGACGCUCAGGUGCGAAAGCGUGGGGAGCAAACA